UCCCCAAUUAGUAACCCUAGUCUCUCAUUGCCACCGCCGUCCCAAGCUCCUCGACGCGGUCGCUUCUUCCUCUUUUCUGUUUUGCAAAACCCAGAAAGCACAGCACAUCGUUUUCAUCUUCGUUGGCUUCUCUGUUCGUCGAAGGUUAGAGACUUCUCUGCUCAAACAAGUUAUUUUGAAGCUUUGAAGGAAACAGCAUCUCUUGAGUAUUGUGAUUCUAAUGCUGGAUGGGUUUUUAAAAAUUCCAAUAGCGAUUCAUCCUCAACUACAUCAGCUAGUUUGCACGGAGGACAGGUUCUUUCAUAGAAAACAGAACGGGGUGAAGAGUUAUUGUUCACUAGUUCUAAGGCAAUAUUUAAUCCUCCUAAAGCAGUCAGAGGAGGAAUUCCAAUCUGUUUUCCACAGAGCAACAUGGAUUUGCGAGGAACAGGAUGUGGAUCAUUGUUCAAAAUCCUCCACCUCUUCCUAAUGAAUCCAAUGCAAAACCUCAUAUUGACUUGCUACUCAAAACAUCCGAAGAUGAUCUCAAAAUAUGGCCACAUAGCUUUGAGUUUAGGCUAAGGGUGUCACUGGCAGCAGAAGGGUAUCUAAGUGCUUCAUUUAUGUUCCAUUUGAUACCAAAACGUAGACUAUUAAAUUCAAGGGCACUCACUACUCGUAUGUGUAUGUCGUAAUGUUAAAUUUGCUGCAGGUCUAGCUUGUGAAGGUCUCAAGCCUUUCUGUGCAAUUUAUUCAUCAUUCAUGCAGAGGGCUUAUGACCAAGAAGACAUGAUGUGAAGAAAAUAUGUUCUAUACAAAUAUAAAAUGGGAUGGGUCUUAUAAUAAUUUUGGUUAUCUAAAUGUAUUAUUUUGUUGUGUUCUUUACAUUUUGAUAAGAUACUUCAUUCGAUAUUACAUGUAAUGGAUAAAUUACACCCUAUUUUGGUUAGUGUUGUAAUGAAUAUCUAGUUUUUAAUGAAACUUUUAUGAUUUACAUUUAUUGAA